CCUACGGGUGGCAGCUGUGGGGAAUAUUGCACAAUGGGCGCAAGCCUGAUGCAGCCAUGCCGCGUGUGUGAAGAAGGCCUUCGGGUUGUAAAGCACUUUCAGCGGGGAGGAAGGCGGUGAGGUUAAUAACCUCAUCGAUUGACGUUACCCGCAGAAGAAGCACCGGCUAACUCCGUGCCGGCAGCCGCGGUAAUACGGAGGGUGCAAGCGUUAAUCGGAAUUACUGGGCGUAAAGCGCACGCAGGCGGUCUGUCAAGUCGGAUGUGAAAUCCCCGGGCUCAACCUGGGAACUGCAUUCGAAACUGGCAGGCUAGAGUCUUGUAGAGGGGGGUAGAAUUCCAGGUGUAGCGGUGAAAUGCGUAGGGAUCUGGAGGAAUACCGGUGGCGAAGGCGGCCCCCUGGACAAAGACUGACGCUCAGGUGCGAAAGCGUGGGGAGCAAACAGGAUUAGAUACCCUAGUAGUC
rnacentral:rRNA from 1 species